rnacentral:lncRNA from 1 species
UGUCGGUUCCAAACCUCCAGGCUUUUGCAUGCUGCCGAACGUCACGCUUGUUUUGAUGUAGACUCCAUGCGUUUCUACGAGCGUACUUACGCUUUUGCGGGAACUCUUUGUGGUGCGUAAUGUCCGGUGAUUUAAGUACUUUGGACGAUUGGGACCCACUGAGUGAGGAGUAUUUCUCCGUGUCGUUCAACAGUUACAACCAAGGCCCGGGUGUCAACCUACCACUUGAGUGUUUGCCAGCGUUUUCUGAAAAGGCCGAGGUUGUCAGAUCAAGAACACUGUGUGUCAAAAAUCUACCUGUGGAGAUAACUGAGACUGGCCUUAGGAAUUUGUUUUCUGGCUGCGGAAAAGUGCUCGGCGCCCAGAGGCUCCAGCCAAGGCCAGAGUACCCAGACAAGACAGUCGGGU